rnacentral:rRNA from 1 species
CGUGGGUAACCUGCCCAAGAGAUCGGGAUAACACCUGGAAACAGAUGCUAAUACCGGAUAACAACAGAUGAUGCCUAUCAACUGUUUAAAAGAUGGUUCUGCUAUCACUCUUGGAUGGACCUGCGGUGCAUUAGCUAGUUGGUAGGGUAACGGCCUACCAAGGCGAUGAUGCAUAGCCGAGUUGAGAGACUGAUCGGCCACAUUGGACUGAGACACGGCCCAAACUCCUACGGGAGGCAGCAGAC